rnacentral:rRNA from 1 species
CCUACGGGUGGCAGCAGUAGGGAAUUUUCGGCAAUGGGGGGAACCCUGACCGAGCAACGCCGCGUGAACGAAGAAGUUAUUCGUAAUGUAAAGUUCUUUUAACAGGGAAGAAAGAGAAAUUUGACGGUACCUGAAGAAUAAGCUCCGGCUAACUACGUGCCAGCAGCCGCGGUAAUACGUAGGGGGCAAGCGGUAUCCGGAAUUACUGGGGGUAAAGGGAGCGUAGACGGGAAUGCAAGUCUGGAGUGAAAGGCGGGGGCCCAACCCCCGGACUGCUCUGGAAACUGUGUAACGGGAGUGCAGGAGAGGCAGGCGGAAUUCCUAGUGUAGCGGUGAAAUGCGUAGAUAUUAGGAGGAACACCAGUGGCGAAGGCGGCCUGCUGGACUGUAACUGACGUUGAGGCUCGAAAGCGUGGGGAGCAAACAGGAUUAGAUACCCUUGUAGUC